GAUGAACGCUAGCGGCAGGCCUAAUACAUGCAAGUCGAGGGGUAACAUGACGCUUCGGUGUUGAUGACGACCGGCGCACGGGUGCGUAACGCGUAUGCAAUCUACCUACAGCAGAGGGAUAGCCCGUGGAAACAUGGAUUAAUACCUCAUAAUACAGGGGGCCCACCUGGGCAUAUUGUUAAAGAUUUAUCGGCUGUAGAUGAGCAUGCGUCCCAUUAGCUAGUUGGUACGGUAACGGCGUACCAAGGCGAUGAUGGGUAGGGGUUCUGAGAGGAUGAUCCCCCACACUGGUACUGAGAUACGGACCAGACUCCUACGGGAGGCAGCAGUAGGGAAUAUUGGUCAAUGGACGAAAGUCUGAACCAGCCAUGCCGCGUGCAGGAAGACGGCCUUCUGGGUUGUAAACUGCUUUUCUCAGGGAAGAAAAAGGUCUUGCGAGACAAAUUGCCGGUACCUGAGGAAUAAGCACCGGCUAACUCCGUG
rnacentral:rRNA from 1 species